AAAGAAUUAGUUAAAUAUAUAACAUUAGAAUGUCAAACUGAAAUUAUUAAUUUAUUAAUAUUCUUUA
rnacentral:tRNA from 1 species